GGAGAGGUGCGAGAGCGGUUGAAUCGGGCGGUCUCGAAAACCGUUGUGCCCCAUGGGUACCAAGGGUUCGAAUCCCUUCCUCUCCG
rnacentral:tRNA from 1 species